GCUCCCGUAGUUCAAUGGACAGAACACCAGACUUCUAAUCUGGAUAUGUAGGUUCGAUUCCUACCGGGAGCA
rnacentral:tRNA from 1 species